rnacentral:rRNA from 1 species
GUAGGUGGCAAGCGUUGUCCGGAAUUAUUGGGCGUAAAGCGCGCGCAGGCGGUUCUUUAAGUCUGAUGUGAAAGCCCACGGCUCAACCGUGGAGGGUCAUUGGAAACUGGAGAACUUGAGUACAGAAGAGGAAAGCGGAAUUCCACGUGUAGCGGUGAAAUGCGUAGAGAUGUGGAGGAACACCAGUGGCGAAGGCGGCUUUCUGGUCUGUAACUGACGCUGAGGCGCGAAAGCGUGGGGAGCAAACAGGGAUUAGAUAUUUUGGUAGUCCACGCUGUAAACGAUGAGUGCUAAGUGUUAGGGGGUUUUCCGCCCCCCUUAGUGCUGCAGCUAACGCAUUAAGCACUCCGCCUGGGAGUACGGCCGCAAGGCUG